UACUGCUUUGUCGUUAGAUGCCCAAGGCCACCUUCGUGGGCACACGACCCGAGCAGUCACACAGGACCCUGUGAUCAGAAUGGCCUCACUUGGGUUUAAUACUCUGCUGUCUUCAUCUUAAAAUUCUUAAUAAUUUAAUGUUUGAGCCCGUGCUUUGUAAGUGAAGUCUGAUGGAACAACGGAGCAUGCGCGUGAGUAGAGGAGAUACAGACGAUACGUGUGUCUGAGUUUUUUGUGGCUCCAUUAGCAUAUGGUGUUGAUGAUGCCCCCUGAGCACAGAAUUCUGGUGAGCCCACAAUGCAUGGGAGUUCAGCGAGAUUCAAUGCCAGUACAAGGUCCACUUUUGGAAACUCCCAUCAUGCCUCCUGCCUAUGGAUCAUCUCUUUGGCUGAGAACCGAGCUAACUCACUCAAGAUCCCAAUUAGUGACUCCUCAUGAGAUGGAAGUAAUUCUCCGGCAUCGUCCUCAUUUGAUUUCAGAAAAUCCAGCAGUUCUGGACUUCACAGUUGCACCACACGGUAUUGGGCUGUGGUCUGCUUCCUGGCAACCAAAGGGCAGGACAUAGCCAACCAUACAACUGCAGAGAUCCACAGAGCUACCGUUUGAGGAAUAAGGAACCCUGUACAUAGCCAGGGGCAUUCUAAAAUCCCCAAACUUGAAUCCUACUUCCGACUUUGCUAGGACACCGCAGGAAUUACCAUCAAAGAAGGAAAAAGAUGCACAGAAGUUUCCCAUUCGACAGCUACGAUUCUACAACCCCAUAGUCUUUCUAAACCACAGGCUGCAUUUUCCAUUUUGUUUUGCUGUGUUUUCCUUCAUGCGCCUAACUCCGGAGGCAGAGUUCUGCCCCUACAAAGCCACAUUCAUGUCAUCAUUCCAAAACUCACAACUCCUGAAAACUUUGAGGAAUGUUAUUAGGCCCUGUAGGCCAGAAGGGCCGUUUCCAGGGUAACAGCAACUCCACACUAAGGAAGAAAGGCAUUUCCCUUCCUAUGCUCCUCUCAGAGUUCAGGCCACUACAGAGAAACCCAUGCCCUGAGCCUGAGGGACACUUCCUGUGGCCCUUAUGCAACCAGCCCAGCACCCACCCCAAGGACACACAGCCAGCCCCUGCGCACUGGAAGGCCACACUUCCUGCCCCCGAUAUCUCAUGUUGAUCUCCUGCCAUAAAUCUACCCAUGCCUGUCCGUCAGCACGUCCCAAUCUGUGGUCUGGAAAAGUCAGCAUAGAUGUGAGAAGAACUCCUGCACAGGCAUUUGUUUUUCCAGCCGCCUGGCUUUUGUUUUGAGCAAGGUGGAAAUGAAAACUGUCUCUAAGGGAGAGAACGCUCCCUCCAGGUGCUUGAGUGACUCCAGGCCCAGAGAGCUUAACCGUGCCCCUUUCACCUUGGCCUGGGUCCUUCUUGACUGAAUAAGACACAUUUCCGCCAUCUAAUAAGGAAACUUGGAAAUGAGGAAGGAGGCCCGCAGGGGAUAUCUGGGAUGCCCUGUCCAUGAAUGGACACUCCCUCCUGGCCAGCUUGCCCACCCUCCAGGCCACAGUUUGCACACUGUUUGUCUCCCCGAGAAGAGCUACCCCUCCCUCCCUGGCUUAUGCUGGGCUUUGUGCGAGAUGGACCCUGAGAUGGUGACUGGUGUAUAGGAUCCUGAUUGGAGGCUGCUGUCAGGAACAAUGCCUGUGAGGGAGAAAGGGCUGCAGGAUGGGGCAGAGGGAGAAGCUGAACUACAGUGCAGUUGCAACAGAGGCCUCAGUCAACUCCAAGGCAAGUUCUGGGGCUGGGAUGGCCCUUCAGAGAUGUCCUAAAUUGAGGCAAAGGGGUAAGUCCUUGCAUAGUCUCCCCCGCCUAUAAACCAGUCAUUGAAUGAGUUGCCCUCCCGGAAGGUGGCAGGGCGCUCCCUUGGACAAGGCAGCUCAGCCAGCUCCUAUCAGCUAAGGACAAUUCCAAGUGGGCAGCGGUCCCCACCCAAACCUUUGAAGGGGGUAGUUAUAUGGUGUGCUCCUGAAUCCACCAUCCCAUCCAACAAAACUCCUGCUCAUCCUUCAGUUGGCAGCUCAAGCUUGACCCAUUCUUUCUGAACUCCUAGCCACUCCCUGAGCCCCUAGACUCGCCACUAUUUCCAUCCGCAAUGAUGGCCCUGCUUCAGAAAUGUCAGAUAACUCCUUACCCUCCAUCUCUAGACAGUGAGAAAUGGAGAUCACCUUUACCACCUGUUCCUGGCACAAAGAAGCCUCCCCUAGGUGCUGAGUAGAUGGAUGUUGCAUGGGAGGUGCCAGCAGGCCCACGGGAAUGUUCCAGCUUCCACAAUUUCCUCUCUAUCAGUGACUCAAAGUGUCUACGUUGUUUCUGCCGAUGACAUACAAGCACAGAGAAAGCUUGCUCCCACAGCCAACCUGGCAACCUCUCUUGGGCUCAGGCCAAGAAAGUCCUGUCCUUGUUCCCUUCCCUGUCCAGUGUUCUGCUGUAAGUCCACUUCCUAGCUAAGAGGGCCAAGCACAUUUAGAAGCCUCCGUGCCAGGGAAAGCCCAAUGCCAUUGCCAACUGCACUACAUCGCCGUUCUUCUGAAGGAAAUUACUAUUGAUCCCACAGCUCUCCUCCCCAUGCUGUUUGCCGGGGACAGCCAAGGAUUCCCGUGCCAGCUGGGCUCCCACACGGCUCGACUGUUCCUGCACCAGAUGGCCAGACCAACACCCUCUGGCUGCCGCACGCUCCCUGGGAGACGAGGCUCUGACGUCUAUCAGCCUGGCUUUUUGUGCACAGGGACGCCGGGGUCAGGGAUUACAGGGCCAAUCACAUUACACUAAAAAUCUCUGCACAGCGUAAAGAUUUCCAAAUCCCAGUGGUUAUCAGUGUAACCAACAAGGCAGGGAAACUGUUUCUAUAGCCUUAACUUUCACUGCUCUUUUCACAAAUAUCAGUUGAAUGCCUCCGUGGUCUGAGGGAUGCAAUGGUAAACAAGACAGUCCCUACCCUCAAGCUAGUUAUAGUCUACUGGGGUAUAGGUUAGGUAACCAUAUCAUUUAUUGUUCAAACUAGGACACUUUUGAGAAAGUAAAAGGGGUGUUUUUAUCGUUAAACCAGGGUAGUAGGCAUAAAUAAGGAGGUGUUCCAGGCAAACCAGGAUGUUUGGGCACCCCAGAUAGAGACACAGCAUGACCAAAAUGGGGGGGAGUUCAGGUCAUGGGGGCAUAGUACUGUUAGGUGGCGCCACAAGAUGGCGCAAUUGAAAUACUCGUAGCUUUUCUUUGUUUUUGUUUUCUCUCUUGAAAACUAAUUUUUCUUUCCAUUGCCACAGAGCCAGUAGAACCCUUCCAUGGUGUGCUGGAGCCAAAGGGUACUGGUUUGUGAGAUCAGAUCAUCAAAUUUUCAGGAAUUUUUGCCAAUUGGUUACUAAGCAUAGCCAUUAAUAAAAAUUAAAAGAAGUAAAAUAAAAAAUAGAAUUAUAAUUAAAAUAAUUAAAAUUUAAAAUGGAGUAAGUCAUAUUAAAAACAAAGGUAAUAAAUACUGAAAACUCACACCUUCCUGACUGCUUUGCUACAGUUUACUAUUAUUUACUCUCAUGAGGUUAUUUACCCUUUCAUGACUGUGUGGUAGAAAUACUAUGUAAAAGGCAGGGCAUGGUGGCUCACACCUGUAAUCACAGCACUUUGGAAAGCUGAGGCAGGUGGAUCACGAGGUCAGGAGUUCGAGACCAGCCUGGCCAACAUAAUGAAACCCCCUCUCUACUAAAAAUACAAAAAUUAGCCAGGUGUGGUGGCGGGCACCUGUAGUCCCAGCUACUCUGGAGGCUGAGGCAGGCGAAUCGCUUGAACCCGGGAGGCGGAGGUUGUAGUGAGCUGAGACCACACCAUUGCACUCCAGCCUGGGUGAGAGGGUGAGACUCUGUGUCAAAAAAAAAAAGAAAAAAGAAAGAAAUACUAUGUAAUGCUGUGUCCGUGUCUUUUCAACUCCAUGGUCAGCACCAUCACGUGGGCAGCUUGAGACUGGCUGUGGUGGGAGUAUUUGCAUCAUGGAAAUCAGCAGAUACUACAAGUCAGGGCUUGGGGGGCAGGGAGCCAGUUGUUAAACAUUUACUAGCACAUCACCAGAAUCAUCAUUUAAGUUCAAUAAUUUAUGUGGCUGAUUUCAUGUACUCUGGGCAGUUCUAUCACAUUCCC
rnacentral:lncRNA from 10 species